GAGCAACCUUUCCCAGACAGGGGAAUAACACACCGAAAGGUGUACUAAUACCGCAUAAGACCACGGGAUCACAUGGUUCUGGGGUAAAAGAUUUAUCGGUUUGGGGUGGGCUCGCGUCCGAUUAGGUAGUUGGUGAGGUAACGGCCCACCAAGCCGACGAUCGGUAGCCGACCUGAGAGGGUGAUCGGCCACAUUGGGACUGAGACACGGCCCAAACUCCUACGGGAGGCAGCAGUGGGGAAUAUUGGGCAAUGGGGGGAACCCUGACCCAGCAACGCCGCGUGGAGGAAGAAGGUUUUCGGAUCGUAAACUCCUGUCCUUGGAGACGAGUA
rnacentral:rRNA from 1 species